GGGCUCUGCGCAGCCGGAGCGCGGUCCCCCUUGAAGGCUCCCUGUCGCCUGCAUCCCAAAAACCCCGAGGUCAUUCUCUUAUUUCAACAGUUGAAUGCAACUUCACAGCUGGGAGAGAGUGAUUGUGAGGUAUGUGAUCUC